rnacentral:tRNA from 1 species
GGUGCAGUAGCGCAGUGGUUUGCAGUGUGUGUGUGUUGAUCAGCAGGUUGAGGGUUCGAAUCCCCACUGCCCCU